UACGUAGGGUGCAGGCGUUAAUCGGAAUUACUGGGCGUAAAGCGUGCGCAGGCGGUCUUUUAAGUCAGAUGUGAAAUCCCCGGGCUCAACCUGGGAACUGCAUUUGUGACUGCACGGCUGGAGUGCGGCAGAGGGGGAUGGAAUUCCGCGUGUAGCAGUGAAAUGCGUAGAUAUGCGGAGGAACACCGAUGGCGAAGGCAAUCCCCUGGGCCUGCACUGACGCUCAUGCACGAAAGCGUGGGGAGCAAACAGG
rnacentral:rRNA from 1 species